UUCCUUUUUCUCCCCUCCCCCUUCCUCACAUCCUGUGCCCCUUCUUCUUUACUCUCCUUCCCCCUUCCCCACAUCCCACUGCUUUUCCUCUCCUUCCUCUCCAUCCCCUUCCCCUCCUACUUCUUCACAUUCUCUUCCCCAUCCUCUCCCUCUCCCCUUUUCGCUCCAUCCCCUUCCCCACAUCCUACGCCCUUUCUUUUCCCUCUUCCCUUUCCCCUUCUCUUCCACCCCCUCCACUUCCCUCACGUUCCAUUCCCCUGCCUCUCCUUUUUCCUCUCCUUCCCCCUCCCCUUCUCUUCCCCUUCCUUUCCCUUUCUUCACAUUCCUAUUCCCCUUCCUCUCCCUCUUCUUUUCCCUCCAUCCCCUUCCCCACAUCCUAUUCCCCUCCCCCUCCAUCCCCUUCCCCACAUCCUCUACUCUUUCCUCUCCUUCUUCCCUUUCCCCUCCCUUUUUCCUCCCCUUCCUCUCCUUCCCUUUCCCCCUCCCUCAUCCCGUUCCCUUUCCCCUCCGUCCCACAGCCCCUUUCCUCCUCCCCACCCCUACAACCCCUCUCCCCUUUUCCCCCUGCAGACCCUCCUGCUCUUCUCCCACUCUCUGGACACCAACGCAGACUGCACGCUGCUGGUCGCAGACCAAUGGUUGGAGCUGCUCCUCCCAGACCCCGACUCAGCUCUGCGGCUCCUGGGGACGGCGCUGCGGCUCCGCGCCGCCUGGGAACUCGUCCUGGAUCAGCACUUGGGGGGCAGCGGUGGGGCAGAGAGCAGGGAGGGGGAUGCGGCCAAGCUGAGACGGGGGCUGCUGGAAUUCCUGCAGGAGAAGGUGGGUAUGGGGGGAUCUGGGGGGGGUUUGUUGAGUUCUGUAGGAUCGGGUUGGGUUGGGGUUGGUUGAGUUCUGUAGGGUCGGGUUGGGUUGGGGGUUGGUUGAGUUCUGUAGGGUUGGGUUGAGUUGGGUUGGGGUUGGUUGAGUUCUGUAGGGUCAGGUUGAGUUGGGUUGGUUGAGUUCUGUAGGGUCGGGUUGGGUUGGGGGUUGGUUGAGUUCUGUAGGAUCGGGUUGGGGGUUGGUUGAGUUCUGUAGGGUCGGGUUGAG
rnacentral:lncRNA from 1 species